rnacentral:tmRNA from 1 species
CUUUGCUGCUGUUGCUAAAGCUGCCUAGUCUAGCUUAAUAACCUAGAUGCGCACGGAUAUGAUAGUCUUUCUUAUGACACUAUCUAUACAUCCGUUCAUAUUCCGCAUAAGACGGUCUUUGCUUUUUGUCUGGGAGUUAAGGCUGUAUUUAACAGACUCGCUAACUAUUACCCUGGCUAAUUGGGGAAUAGUCAAGCUAAACUCAAAUAGAUUAGCCUAAGCAUGUAGAUCCAAAGAUCUAGAGUUUGUGGACGCGGGUUCAAAUCCCGCCGCCUCCACCA